UACGGGGGGAGCAAGCGUUGUUCGGAUUUACUGGGCGUAAAGGGCGCGUAGGCGGCCACCGCAAGUCAGUUGUGAAAUCUCUGGGCUUAACCCAGAAAGGUCAACUGAUACUGCGGGGCUAGAGUGCAGAAGGGGCAACUGGAAUUCUCGGUGUAGCGGUGAAAUGCGUAGAUAUCGAGAGGAACACCUGCGGCGAAGGCGGGUUGCUGGGCUGACACUGACGCUGAUGCGCGAAAGCCAGGGGAGCAAACGGG
rnacentral:rRNA from 1 species